UAGGGAAUCUUCCGCAAUGGGCGAAAGCCUGACGGAGCAACGCCGCGUGAGUGAUGAAGGUCUUCGGAUCGUAAAACUCUGUUAUUAGGGAAGAACAAAUGUGUAAGUAACUAUGCACGUCUUGACGGUACCUAAUCAGAAAGCCACGGCUAACUACGUGCCAGCAGCCGCGGUAAUACGUAGGUGGCAAGCGUUAUCCGGAAUUAUUGGGCGUAAAGCGCGCGUAGGCGGUUUUUUAAGUCUGAUGUGAAAGCCCACGGCUCAACCGUGGAGGGUCAUUGGAAACUGGAAAACUUGAGUGCAGAAGAGGAAAGUGGAAUUCCAUGUGUAGCAGUGAAAUGCGCAGAGAUAUGGAGGAACACCAGUUGCGAAGGCGACUUUCUGGUCUGUAACUGACGCUGAUGUGCGAAAGCGUGGGGAUCAAACAGG
rnacentral:rRNA from 1 species